rnacentral:tRNA from 1 species
CCCCUGGUGGCUCAGAUGGCAAAGCAUCUGUCUACAAUGCAGAAGACCCAGGCUCGAUCCCUGGGUUGGGAG